UUUACGUAUUUAAAAAUGCAGACUUACUUUUCUUUUACACCAAACACUCAUUUAGACCAAAAACUUAAACCAUUUGACAAUUUUGAGAUAAAUUUUGACAAUAUUGGGAUGUGAGUCUAGGAGUAUUUGGUCUAGGCCACAAUCGAUAUAUUUAUAUCAAUAAAUUGCCAGUAUUGAUAUAUAGACCAGGGGUGGGCAAACUUUUUUUAGUAAGGGCCACAAAAUGUUUUUGGUCUAUUACCGAGGACCGCAAUAUGUUUUACCUUUACAUGUUCGAAUUUUCAACUUUUUAUUAAUUUGGGGGGGGGGCGGGUUAUGGUUAUCCGGCUAUGAUUUGAAAUCAACAUUUUAAGCAUUUUUGUAUGAAUUUUAUUCACAGAAAAUUAUUACUGCUGUUUUUUUAUGACGAUUUUUGAGUUUUUAAUAUCACUCAGAAGCCAAAAUAACAAACUUUUUUGUAAACAAGUGUGUAAAUCAACAUAUGUAGUAUUGUUAAACAAAAAAUAUGCAUAAAACAAAAAAUAUCUCGACAGCUUUACGUCACGAAAUGUUUAAAGAAAAUAUAUGAUAAAUUUCAGGUGGAUUUGUCAAGUACCUUUUCAGUUAGGUUUUUAGUUGAAUUGGUUUUAGUGUGGAAAGCAGUUUUGAGAAAAACUGAAAAUUUUUUGUCUGUCAAAUAGUAAAGUGAUGCACACCGGAAAAUGUUUUUGAAUCGCGGAAUAAUUUACAAAUGAGAAGGGAACAACUGUUGAAUGUCUCUCACUACGCUCAAGCUGCUGCAAAGCGAGUCGAAGGUGGGGAUAUUAAGAAUGCAGUAUUUCCGGUAAUUUUACUUUGGUCAAACUGAAAUUUUUAGACAGUAGGCUUGAAGUUAUGUACUUUCAAAAAUAAUAAUUUUGUUGUAAAACGAAAACUAGAAACGUCUUAUAUUUCAAUUCAAUCAGAGAGUGUCAUAAACACCCUACCCGGUUUCAAGCUCAUAAGCUAUCAUCAGAGGGCGUAAAUGACUUUAUCUGAAUGAACUAAAACAAAUCCGACCGCUAUAAAGAUUCACAACAAAAUAACACGAAACGGGUGCCGUAGCGGUACCCGUAUCGUGCAGCAUUGGUCCGAAAUUUGGCUGAAUGGCUUGUAUUCCAAAAAUAUACAAAUUAAUCUAUAUUUUCUAGUUCAAUGUAGACUGGUACGGAAUCAAUUUGAACUAAAAAAUAAUUUCUUAGAAGUGAUAAGGAAAAUUAUAUAUCUUCAAAAUCUUUAAAACGAUUUUCAAAUUCUGUCAACAAAUUACAAAGCUUUUCUUCAUAAAUUUUAAACUUGUUUUCUGGUAUAUUAUUUAAUGACUUUAAUUAGGGAGAUUAUUGAACGGAUUAUUUAUUUUUUAUAUGAUUAAUGAAUAGCUUUGAAUAGUUUGAGUUUCAUUUUAAAAGUUUCAUUUUGAGUUCAAAACUUAUAAAUUUAGCAAAUGUGUCGCAUUUUUUCAUAUCUAACUCACAGCACCUUUUAAGAACCUUUUUUAUACUUAAUAUGACUGUGGUAUCUAUAAGACUAUCAGUAUGUUUUGUCGCUAACUCUUCCAAAUAUGCUAUGAGUGCACAAUGAUUUUUUAAUCCUCUUGAACAAAUAAAAUUAACAACAUUAGCUGUAAUUGAAAUGACGUUGUCUACUUGCAAAACAUUUUUGAACAAUACCUGCUGAUGGUUUAUGCAUUGAAAAAGUACCUAAUAAAUCAUGUUCUGGAAAUUGUUCAUAAACGUAAUCUUUAAGUUUUCUCAACAUUACAAUAUUUGCUCCUCUUAAAUUUGGUGCUCCGUCAAUUUUUACACUUACUAGGUAGUUACGGGUUAAUUACGGGAAACUUUGCGGAAAAAUCACCCACUGCGAAAGUGUUAAUUAAUAGCUGCAUUAUCUAUAUAAUUAUCAAUAUUAGCGAUAAUUAAACAAAAAAAUCUUUAAAUGAAAAUAAUUCACUUUUUUCCGAGGGCCGCAAAAAAAUGUCUAAAGGGCCGCAUGCGGCCCGCGGGCCGCACUUUGCCCACCCCUGAUAUAGACCAUCGGACCUCAAUAUGAAAAAUUUAACUGCGGUUUUAUCUCUUGUCUUUUUGUGUCCUGGACAUGUCAUAUGAAAUAACCAAGAAAAGGAAAUUUUUCAGCAAAUUUUUCAAGGUAAAAUUUUUUGUUUUCACGAGCUGCCUGCAGGUACGUAUUUUUUGGAAGGUUCCUGAUCGUGAAACCUAACAUACUGGCAAGUGGCAUAAAGGAGAAAAACACUCCACCAAUCAAUUAACUUUACACGUUUAGGUCAUAAUAUUAACACCCUUAGGGCACCAGUAGCCAUUCGAUUUUCUUUACAAAAGAAAAUAUUCAAUCAUUUUCCUAAGAAAAUUCCCUGGGAAGCCCAGAGUUUUGAUCUGCUCUCCAAAUCAGAUCAAAUCAGUACUAUCAAACACAUAAGGGAGAAAAUCUUGGUUGAAAUUCGUCGGAAAUCUGACGGUCUAUAAAGAUGUGUCAUUAUUAAUAGGCCGUUCCAAGAUGCUGUCAAAAUUAAAACAAUAUGGCUACUGGAAGGCAAACAUUGAAUAUUAUUCUAUCAGGUUCUUAUGGUUUUAGAUCAUUUUAGUUGUUGUACAAAGAUUAAUUUAACAUUUUCUCUGGAAGUAUUAAUUUAGAAAGAUAAUAUGCCUCAUUGGUGUUGUGUUUUGAAGUGUGAAAUGCAAAGUAAUCGUGAUAAAGUUAGCUUUUACCACUUACCAUCAGUGCUACAUUCUAAGCACAAAACUGAACCAAUUUAACUAAAUAAGUUAUAGUUAUCAUCUGAGAGACAACAACAAUGGUAAAAUGCAAUAAAAUAUAAAGAUUUUACUAGCAAAAUGGAAAUUCCCCUGUAAUCAUCUUAUAUCUGGUAAGUUACAACAUUUGAACAUUAACGAUUUUUGAAGAUGUUAACAGUCUAAUCUUGUAGGAAAACCAGCCGACUUAACUGAUAAUAACAAUCCAGAUUGGGUUCCUUCAAUAAAUAUGGGGUAUAUAAACACAAUGAAAUGAGUUCCCCAAAAUCUAAAAUGGGAAUUAAGGUACCAAAGGAGAAUUAAAAGAAAAUGGUACCUAUAAGAAAAAAUUGCUUUUUUAUUCCUCUUGAAAUGAUUUAUAAGACACUGGACUGUCUUAUAUUCUACAAAUACUAGAAUCAGCUGAGAGAAGUGGUCUACAAAAACCCAGGAAGGAAACGGAAUAUGUGGCUACGAAAGGCAAAAGAAAGGUUUACAAAGCAAAUGUGACACAUUUUUUUGAAAUAUUUAGGAAUAUCAGUAAAUUGCAUUAAAAAAAUGUAUGAAAAGAUUUUGUUCAAUAAAAAUGUUUAUAUUUA